ACAUACGACCACAGCCACCAGGCAACUCAGGAUCCCGUCUGAUCUCCWAUGAGAAACUGGUGAGCGCUGGAUUAGUAGCUGGGUCGGUGACGACCAGCGAAUCCCCGGUGUUGUAUGUG
rfam:Tolypocladium ophioglossoides CBS 100239 scaffold_39, whole genome shotgun sequence.